UCUACCGGCUCUUCCAUAGGCUCGAGCCUACCCUCUAAAAUCCCGAAAUUUAUUUUUACUACUAUGCAUCGGCAAGCCGAGGAAAAGCCGGGCAGCCGGCCCAUGUAAGCAAAUUGGGCAGGCGAGGAAACGAGCAGUCAGCCGCACGGCCGCACGCGCUCCAGCUCUCGAAAAGCACUCGAGUCUCGACGACCUAGCUGCCGGGUCGACGACCUAGCCGCCGGGCAGCCGGAGCUGGCGGAGCCGCGGCGCGGAGCUCGCCACCCCGCCGGUCGCCACACCGCGCAGACCUCGGCACCCCGCCGGUCGUCGCCCAACGAGGGAGCCAGCACGGGGAGGCGGGCAGCUCGUCGGUCGUCGGCCGUCGCCCAUCGCCUGAGCAGUGGACUGCGCCUGAGGACCUCCGACUCCGAGGCAAUCGAGGCUCCCCUGCCUGUGCCUGAAAUGAAGAGAAAGAAGUUUGCACAGUUGGUUUCCAAGCAGUUAAAGAAAUGAAGAGAAAGAGAAAGAAGACUAAUCUGAGAAAGUUUGGGCUUAUUUCGAUAAAUGGAUUUGUAGAUAAUGGCUAUCUCGUUAAACUCAAAAUUUUGUUCAAAAUUUUAUAUUUUUUAAAACAUCA